rnacentral:misc_RNA from 1 species
CCUUUCUACGGAGAUUUCAGGCUCGUGUUUGCGAGUCGUUGUGGGCCCGGCGGCCGGAUGUUCCGGUUGGUCCGGGUUGCUGGUGUGGAAGAGAUCGUUGGCUUGUGGUCGUGGCCGUCGUUGGUCGUGGCCGGUGGUACGGGCAUGCUUUUGGGUUCCCGGAUCGCCACUUCCCGUGGUUGUUCGCGGGGGCGGGUCCGUCGUCGCGCGGCGUGGUCGUCCGGUCGUUUGGCCGGGUGGUCGGGUCGUGUGUGCGGUGGUGGUUUGAGAACUGGAUAGUGGACGCGAGCAAGUGACAACUUUUGUUGUUUCUUGCUGUUGAUUUCGAAGAGCACUUUUUUGUGUUCGUCGAUCGUUUUGUGAUCAUUCUAGUUGUAUUGAUGUGUCGUCUGGGAGUUCGCUAUGGCAGUGCUGGCGGCCGGCAUCCUUGUUGGGUGUGGGUUGCUUGC